rnacentral:rRNA from 1 species
GCGAGUCGAGAGACGUAAGGUCUCGGCGGACCGCUCAGUAACACGUGGAUAACAUGCCCUAAGGUGGGGGAUAAUCUCGGGAAACUGAGGGUAAUACCCCAUAGGUCUGAUAUGCUGGAAUGCUUUCAGGCCGAAAACUCCGGUGCCUUAGGAUUGGUCUGCGGUCUAUCAGGCUGUAGUGGGUGUGAUGGACCCACUAGCCCGUGACGGAUAUGGGCCUUGAGAGAGGGAGCCCAGAGAUGGACUCUGAGACAUGAGUCCAGGCCCUACGGGGCGCAGCAGUCGCGAAAACUUCGCAAUGGGGGCAACCCCGACGAGGGAAUUCCAAGUGCCAGCACUUUGUGUUGGCUGUUCUCCUGUCUAAAAAACAGGAGGAGUAAGGGGCGGGUAAGACGGGUGCCAGCCGCCGCGGUAAUACCCGCGCCCCAAGUGGUGGUCGAUAUUAUUGAGCCUAAAACGUCCGUAGCCGGUCUUCUAAAUCUUUGGGUAAAUCGGACAGCUUAACUGUCCGAAUUCCGGGGAGACUGGGAGACUUGGGACCGGGAGAGGUCAGAGGUACUUCUGGGGUAGGGGUAAAAUCCUGUAAUCCUGGAAGGACCACCGGUGGCGAAGGCGUCUGACUAGAACGGAUCCGACGGUGAGGGACGAAGCCCUGGGGCGCAAACGGGAUUAGAUACCCCGGUAGUCCAGGGUGUAAACGCUGCGGGCUUGGUGUUGGGGGUCCUUAGUGGGCGCCCAGUGCCGGAGAGAAGUUGUUAAGCCUGCUGCUUGGGGAGUAUGUCCGCAAGGAUGAAACUUAAAGGAAUUGGCGGGGGAGCACCGCAACGGGAGGAGCGUGC